CAAUAAUGCAAAAAUGGAAAUUAAGUGUUUCUAAACUUAAUUAGUAGCUUGAGAAUGGUAUUUGACAGGUUUUGGAAGUGUGAGGAUAGACACGAAUGGAAUCGAAGUGGUUAAAGACCUCCAAUUACUAUUAGUACUUGAAUGCUGAAAUUUUAGUCGAUUUGGUCAAAAUGAUCAAAUUGAUGCAAAAUUGAGAAUUAAAUGCUUCCAAAUUAAUCUGGUAACUUAUAGAGGCGUAUUAGUAUAAAUUGGAAGUGAUUAGAAGUAUUUGAAACAAGGUGGAAGAGCAAAUUGAGUGGUUAAUGCUGCUGCUGCCAGAGAAUUCUGCAGCUGGACUGAAAUGCACUUAUGCUGAAAUGAAAGGCUAAUGUGCAAAAUUCCAGUCUUAUCACUUAACCCCAGCUGGGUGGAAGUUGUACACGUGUAACCCCUUCAUCAGCUUGAUUACAUCCAACUUCUUCCUCUCUUUUCUCUUAGCCUAGGAGCAAGUAGUGAGGUACCAGCCUACAAACCUGCAGCAGGGUUGCAAUGUAAUUAUGGAGAAUUAGAGGGUUAAGUUGCAAAAUUUCAUCCUUAUCAUCUCAUCCCUGGUUUAUAACACCUGGCAAAGCACCAGGCUUCUUCUCUCUCACCCUCUUUUAUCUCUCUUCUUCUCUUUUCCUUCAGCCAAAGGAAACGAAGUAGAGAAGGAAGCUAGUUCGGUGGAGUUCAGCUGAGAAGAAAGGAUUCAGCUGGGAAAAGAAAUAGAGAACUGAAAAGAGAGAGAGAAGUGAAGCUUGAGGAGUGUAGUGGGUAACCUUGUAGCCUGCGGGUUCAGCUGGAGGGGUUGAUCCGAGCCAAAGAGAAGGUUUUGGAAGCUCCAGAUUGAGAAGCAAGAUUAGUUGAUGUAUUAGAGAGGAUCCUUUUAUGGGUGAACUACUGCCAGGAAUUGAAAUUCAGCAAGUUUGAAUUUCGAGCAUGUAGAGGCUGGGAAUUAUUAGAGCUGAAGUUCAGAUUUGUAGAAGCUGAUGAAUUGAGAAGCUCAACCAGGAAGUUGAGACUGGAGGAAAUUCAAGUAGAUAACUGAGCAAAGUGUGAUUGUUGCUCAGAUUGAGGGAAGAACUGAAGGAGCUUCUCUAGUAUGUUGAAUUGCAAGAAGAAUGAUUAAAAACCUGAAAUCUAGGGCUUGGGUGGUGACUUCUUACUGCUGAGGUGCUGCUGAACUGAAGGAGUGUUUAAAGCUGUGGAGCAGGAAACUAGGGGCAAAGGCACUGACUGGAGGUUGACGACGCGCUAAUUACGGUAGAGGCCGUUCUAGUUCUAUUUACACCGAGACGCGCAAGAUUGUUCUUGACACAGUUCGAGACGUGGAUUCUAGUUGUUGACACCACUACAGGUUCCAGUGCGAGUGUUGUGGCCGAGGAUCGAGGCAAGAGCCAGCAGCCUAGCUAGUGGACA